GACGAACGCUGGCGGCGUGCCUAAUACAUGCAAGUAGAACGCACAGUUUAUACCGUAGCUUGCUCCACCAUAGACUGUGAGUUGCGAACGGGUGAGUAACGCGUAGGUAACCUGCCUGGUAGCGGGGGAUAACUAUUGGAAACGAUAGCUAAUACCGCAUAAUAUUUAUUAUUGCAUGAUAAUUAAUUGAAAGGUGCAAUUGCACCACUACCAGAUGGACCUGCGUUGUAUUAGCUAGUAGGUGAGGUAACGGCUCACCUAGGCGACGAUACAUAGCCGACCUGGGAGGGUGAUCGACCACACUGGGACUGGGACACGGCCCAGACUCCUACGGGAGGCAGCAGUAGGGAAUCUUCGGCAAUGGACGAAAGUCUGACCGAGCAACGCCGCGUGAGUGAAGAAGGUUUUCGGAUCGUAAAGCUCUGUUGUAAGAGAAGAACGGGUGUGAGAGUGGAAAGUUCACACUGUGACGGUAUCUUACCAGAAAGGGACGGCUAACUACGUG
rnacentral:rRNA from 1 species